AUCUAUCUGACGAGUCCGAAAUAAGACGAAACGCGCGUCCUGGAU
rfam:Schistosoma mattheei strain Denwood, Zambia genome assembly, scaffold: SMTD_scaffold0000081